AGUGAACGCUGGCGGUAGGCCUAACACAUGCAAGUCGAACGGCAGCACAGUAAGAGCUUGCUCUUACGGGUGGCGAGUGGCGGACGGGUGAGGAAUACAUCGGAAUCUACUUUUUCGUGGGGGAUAACGUAGGGAAACUUACGCUAAUACCGCAUACGACCUACGGGUGAAAGCAGGGGAUCUUCGGACCUUGCGCGAUUGAAUGAGCCGCUGUCGGAUUAGCUAGUUGGCGGGGUAAAGGCCCACCAAGGCGACGAUCCGUAGCUGGUCUGAGAGGAUGAUCAGCCACACUGGAACUGAGACACGGUCCAGACUCCUACGGGAGGCAGCAGUGGGGAAUUUUGGACAAUGGGCGCAAGCCUGAUCCAGCCAUACCGCGUGGGUGAAGAAGGCCUUCGGGUUGUAAAGCCCUUUUGUUGGGAAAGAAAAGCAGCAGGUUAAUACCCCGCUGUUCUGACGGUACCCAAAGAAUAAGCACCGGCUAACUUCGUG
rnacentral:rRNA from 1 species